AACUUUCGGCAAUGGAUCACUUGGUUCCGGCAUCGAUGAAGAACGCAGCGAAAUGCGAUACGUAAUGUGAAUUGCAAAUUCAGUGAAUCAUCGAGUCUUUGAACGCACAUUGCGCCCCCUGGUAUUCCGGGGGGCAUGCCUGUCCGAGCGUCAUUUCUGCCCUCAAGCACGGCUUGUGUGUUGGGCCCCGUCCUCCGAUUCCGGGGGACGGGCCCGAAAGGCAGCGGCGGCACCGAGUCCGGUCCUCGAGCGUAUGGGGCUUUGUCACCCGCUCUGUAGGCCCGGCCGGCGCUUGCCGAUCAACCCAAAUUUUUAUCCAGGUUGACCUCGGAUCAGGUAGGGAUACCCGCUGAACUUAAGCAUAUCAAUAAGCGGAGGCU
rnacentral:misc_RNA from 1 species